AUUGAACGCUGGCGGCAGGCUUAACACAUGCCAGUCGGGCGGUAACAGGAGAAGCGUGCUUCUCGCUGACGUGCGGCGGACGGGUGAGGAAUACUUAGGAAUCUACUUAGUAGUGGGAGAUAGCUCGGGGAAACUCGAAUUAAUACCGCAUACGACAUACGGGAGAAAGGCGGCACCUUGUUGCUCUAUCUAUUAGAUGAGCCUAAGUAGGAUUAGCUAGAUGGUGGGGUAAAGGCCUACCAUGGCGACGAUCUGUAGGUGGUCUGAGAGGAUGAUCAGACACACCGGGACUGAGACACAGCCCGGACUCCUACGGGAGGCAGCAGUGGGGAAUAUUGGACAAUGGGGGCAACCCUGAUCCAGCCAGGCCGCGUGUGUGAAGAAGGCCUUUUGGUUGUAAAGCACUUUAAGCAGUGAAGAAGACUCUAGGGUUAAUAUCCUUAGACGAUGACAUUAGCCGCAAAAUAAGCACCGGCUAACUCUGUGUCAGCAGCCGCCGUAA
rnacentral:rRNA from 1 species